UGCAGUCGAACGGCAGCACGGGUGCUUGCACCUGGUGGCGAGUGGCGUACGGGUGAGUAAUAUAUCAGAACGUACCUUAUCGUGGGGGAUAACGCAGCAAAAGCUGCGCUAAUACCGCAUACGCCCUGAGGGGGAAAGCGGGGGACCGUAGGGCCUCGCGCGAUUAGAGCGGCCGAUAUCUGAUUAUCUUGUUGGUGGGGUAAAAGCCCACCAGGGCGACUAUCAGUAUCUGGUCUGAGAGGACUAUCACCCACACUGGGACUGACACACGGCCCACACUCCUACGGGAGGCAGCAGUGGGGAAUUUUGGACAAUGGGGGCAACCCUGAUCCAGCAAUGCCGCGUGAGUGAAGAAGGCCUUCGGGUUGUAAAGCUCUUUUGUCAGGAAAGAAACAGCAUCUCUAACACACUCUGCAAAUGACGGUACCUGAAAAAUAAGCACCGGCUAACUACGUGCCAGCACCCGCGGUAAUACAUAGGGUGCAAGCGUUAAUCAGAAUUACUGGGCGUAAAGCGUGCGCACGCGGUUAUACAACACAGGCGUGAAAUCCCCGGGCUUAACCUGAGAAUGGCGUCUGUGACUGUAUGACUAGAGUGUGUCAGAGGGGGGUAGAAUUCCACGUGUAACAGUGAAAUGCGUAUAUAUGUAGAGGAAUACCAAUGGCGAACGCAGCCCCCUGAGAUAACACUGACUCUCAUGC
rnacentral:rRNA from 1 species